rnacentral:lncRNA from 1 species
GAUGCCUCAACUCAAUAAUGUUUUAUAAAAUAUUAAAUUAUAUCUUAAAUAUAUAUAAGAUAAUUGUAAUAGUAUUUGUUAAGAUAAAUAAUAAUAUAUAUGUAUCUAAGGAAACAUAAUAAUUAUACAUAAUUUAAAUAAAAUAUCACUAUAUAAUUUUUUUAAUUUUCAAAUCUUUUUUUCCGAUGUCUGAUAUUUUGCUAUUAAUCUAAUACUCCC